rnacentral:rRNA from 1 species
GAUGAACGCUAGCGGCAGGCCUAACACAUGCAAGUCGAGCGGGGUGAUGGUGCUUGCACUAUCACUUAGCGGCGGACGGGUGAGUAAUGCUUAGGAAUCUGCCUAUUAGUGGGGUACAACAUCUCGAAAGGGAUGCUAAUACCGCAUACGUCCUACGGGAGAAAGCAGGGGAUCACUUGUGACCUUGCGCUAAUAGAUGAGCCUAAGUCGGAUUAGCUAGUUGGUGGGGUAAAGGCCUACCAAGGCGACGAUCUGUAGCGGGUCUGAGAGGAUGAUCCGCCACACUGGGACUGAGACACGGCCCAGACUCCUACGGGAGGCAGCAGUGGGGAAUAUUGGACAAUGGGGGGAACCCUGAUCCAGCCAUGCCGCGUGUGUGGAGAAGGCCUUAUGGUUGUAAAGCACUUUAAGCGAGGAGGAGGCUCUUUUGGUUAAUACCCAAGAUGAGUGGACGUUACUCGCAGAAUAAGCACCGGCUAACUCUGUGCCAGCCGCCGCCGUAA